GAGCCCUCUCCGCCCCGUCCUCCUCCGCCUUCUUCGCGCGCGCGGCCACGACAGGGAGGAUUUGGGCGGAGCAGGGCGCCGCUCCCCUUCCGCAGCCUUGGGCGAGCCCAAGGGCCUUUUCCUCCUCUGCUCGCGGCCAGAUGAACUAGGCGUGUUGGGCGGCGGCCGAGGCUUGCUCACAGACCAGUCCCUACAACGUGCACGCCUCCAAGCAAGUGGCCAAGCACUGGACUUUGGAACUGAUCUGGGCUUCGGAUCCUGCCAUUUCGGCUCAUACUUCAUAAUAUUCCAGCAGUGCAUGUAUGGAAAGUUGUGCUUGUAGACAGCAGCAAAAUUAGCCGCUGCAAUAGUGGUCUGCAUUCAGAAAAUAAUUGUAUGAAUUCAAGUACUUGGCUGCUAUUAAAAUAGUGAGUUGUACAACACACACAUACUUGGCUGCUAUUCAAUUAGUGAGCUA